GAAAUGCGAUACGUAAUGUGAAUUGCAGAAUUCAGUGAAUCAUCGAAUCUUUGACCGCAUUGGCUGACUGAUGCAGGAUUUCACAAGGGUCGGCAACGAUUCUUGUUAAACUCGAUCUCAAAUCAAGUAAGACUACCCGCUGAACUUAA
rnacentral:misc_RNA from 1 species